GAUCGCGUAACUCAGUGGUAGAGUACUUCCUUGACAUGGAAGAAGUCGUUGGUUCAAGUCCAAUCGUGAUCA
rnacentral:tRNA from 1 species